AUGGCGUCCUCCUCCUCCCCGGCGGCUCCGUUGCUCCCACCUUGUCAAGAUGAGCAGGAUAAGGAGGACGCAGGUGCUCGGAGCGACGGCGGGAGUCAGCGGGAGCAGGGGGUGAUGCGGAGCUGGGCGGAGGCGGCGCUGCUGUGCUGCGGCGCGGACUGCGGCGACGCGGAGCGGCUGUGGCGCAGGGUGGUGCUGCGCAAGUGGCUCAACGUCGGCGCCGGGUCCGGCGACUCCGACUUCAGCGCCGACGAGUUCGAGGCCGAGGCCGAGACCGACGACGAGGAGCCCGGCCACCAAGAGAAGUGCUGUUGCUGGGAACACAAACUGUUUGAUGAGGAGAGGAGAUCGCGUGGACUUGGUGCGGGCACGAUUGGUAAUCAAGUGAAGGCUGUGCCUGACAGACUUAAAAGGUGCAAUUCAGAGACACUUCGCGCUCAGUAUAUCGAUGUCGCUGAACUCAGGAUUUUCGUAGGGACAUGGAAUGUUGGAGGCAGAGUUCCACCUACUGACUUAGACAUUCAAGAAUGGCUGGCGAUGGAGGAGCCAGCUGAUAUUUAUGUUCUCGGAUUUCAAGAAAUUGUCCCACUAAAUGCUGGGAAUAUAUUCGGUGCUGAAGAUGACCAUCCAGUUGUAGUAUGGGAACAUAUCAUUCGUGAAACUUUGAAUAAGAUAUGUCCAUAUAAACCAAAGCAUAAAUGUGUCAGUGAUCCUCCUUCACCAUCAAAGUUCAAUCCAUCAGAUUAUCUUGUGAUGGAAGAUGAUUUUCUUAGUGAGGCCGACAAUGGAAGUGAGGGGGAACUUCAUCCAUUGAUUGGACAAGACAUUAAUCCAGUUACUAAUGAUAGUGGCGUUUGUAAAACAUAUGAAUACUCCACCUCUGCUUCCAGUGAAAGAGUUCACGAAGGCGAAGACUUCAGCAAGAUGCUUCCAGUAAAUACUUCUCAUCACUCCCACAACUCAAGUCAUACGCUUUUUAGAUCUAAUCUGAAAGAACCGAGCAACCAAGCCGGUCACUUGGAAAGGCCUGGAAUGAUUUGGCCUGAACAACAAUUGGAUAUGCAGGUUCAUCUUCUUCAGGACAGCACAUCAGUUACUUCAGUGAAGACUCUAACAGCUUCUGCGUCUUUCAAAUCGAGACAUGAGAAUUCUAAUGGUUUUCCAGAAGAUAAUCUGGACCAUGAUGUUAGUAUCGAUAAUAGAGUCGUUGAAAGAAAAAAUUCAAAUUUCGUACGGAUAAUAAGCAAGCAAAUGGUGGGAAUAUAUCUUUCGGUGUGGGUUCAGAGAGGCCUUAGGAGGCACAUUCAGAAUUUGAGAGUAUCAACUGUAGGUGUAGGCGCGAUGGGUUACAUCGGUAACAAGGGAUCAAUAUCAGUCAGCAUGUCUAUAUAUCAGACACCCUUUUGUUUUGUAUGUUGCCACCUGACAUCUGGUGAAAAGGAUGGAAAUCUAACAAAGAGAAAUGCAGAUGUUGAAGAAAUCCUUCGAAGAACGGUAUUUAACCCAGUUCAUAGAGUCAGCAUGCCUAAGGGAAUACAUGACCAUGACCAUUUCAUAAAUUUCAGAAAGAUUAUAUGGUUUGGGGAUCUCAACUACCGAAUCAACCUAUCAUAUGAAAGAACACAUGAACUUAUCUCCAGAAAGGAAUGGGAUUUAUUGUUUGACAAUGAUCAGCUAAAGUGGGAACUGAUGAAAGGGCGUACAUUUGACGGUUGGAUCGAAGGGGUGAUUAGCUUCCCCCCAACAUAUAAAUACGAAUUUAAUUCAGAUAAGUAUGCGGGCGACGAGCCAAUAUCUGCGAGAAGAAGACCUGCAUGGUGCGACCGGAUUCUUUCAUACGGAAAGGGCAUCAGGUUGGAUUCUUACAGAAGGGUGGAGCUUAAUCUUUCGGAUCACCGCCCGGUGUCCGCUGUCUACAUGGCCGAGGUUGAAGUUUUAUGCCACAGAAAGUUUCAGAAGGCUGUAACAUUCACCAAUGUAGAGGUUGAGGAUCAUCUGUUAUUGGAGAGAUGA
rnacentral:rRNA from 1 species